GAUGAACGCUAGCGGCAGGCUUAUACAUGCAAGUCGAGGGGCAGCAUGAGUGUAGCAAUACAUUUGAUGGCGACCGGCAAACGGGUGCGGAACACGUACACAACCUUCCUAUAAGUGGGGAAUAGCCCAGAGAAAUUUGGAUUAAUACCCCGUAACAUAAUGAUGUGGCAUCACAUUAUUAUUAUAGCUACGGCGCUUAUUGAUGGGUGUGCGGCUGAUUAGAUAGUUGGCGGGGUAACGGCCCACCAAGUCUACGAUCAGUAGCUGAUGUGAGAGCAUGAUCAGCCACACGGGCACUGAGACACGGGCCCGACUCCUACGGGAGGCAGCAGUAAGGAAUAUUGGUCAAUGGACGCAAGUCUGAACCAGCCAUGCCGCGUGAAGGAUUAAGGUCCUCUGGAUUGUAAACUUCUUUUAUCUGGGACGAAAAAAGGCGAUUCUUCGUCACUUGACGGUACCAGAUGAAUAAGCACCGGCUAACUCCGUGCCAGCAGCCGCGGUAAUACGGAGGGUGCAAGCGUUAUCCGGAUUCACUGGGUUUAAAGGGUGCGUAGGCGGGUAGGUAAGUCAGUGGUGAAAUCCUGGAGCUUAACUCCAGAACUGCCAUUGAUACUAUCUAUCUUGAAUAUUGUGGAGGUAAGCGGAAUAUGUCAUGUAGCGGUGAAAUGCUUAGAUAUGACAUAGAACACCUAUUGCGAAGGCAGCUUACUACGCAUAUAUUGACGCUGAGGCACGAAAGCG
rnacentral:rRNA from 1 species